GACGAACGCUGGCGGCGUGCUUAACACAUGCAAGUCGAACGAAGUGGCGAACGGGUGAGUAAUACGUGGGUAACAUGCCCUCCUUUUUGGGAUAAGCCUUGGAAACGGGGUCUAAUACCGAAUAAAGGGGGAUGGGCUCGCGGCCUAUCAGCUUGUUGGUGGGGUGAUGGCCUACCAAGGCGGUUGCGGUUAGCGGGCCGGGGAGGGGGACCGGGCAUAUUGGGACUGAGUUACGGGCCAGGCGCCUACGGUAGGCAGGAGUUGGGGACAUUGCACACGCGACGAAAGCCUGAUGCAGCGACGCCGCGUGGGGGAUGAAGGCUUUCGGGUUGUAAACCUUGUUCGCUAUCGAACGGCUAGGUGGAGAAGAAGCGCCGGCUAACUACGUGCCAGCAGCCGCGGUAAUUC
rnacentral:rRNA from 1 species